AUGAUUAUAACCAUCGCAGUUAAUGCAGCAGCCUCAUUGUUCAGAGGAGUCUGUCAGAGAUGGAGCUGCUUCUUCUGAGUCUCUGCCUCGUGCAUUUGUCUGGAUCAACGUUUGCUGAUAGAAACGAUCGGGGUCAGGUUGAAAGAAGUCCAGUGAUCAGAGUGAAAGAAGGCAAUGAUGUGACUCUGCCCUGUUACAUCAAGAACAAGAACAUUGUGUCUGAGCGGUUUGAGUGGAAGAAAGAUGGAAAGAAGGAUGUUUACCUGUGUGAACGUGAUUCAUUAUCAGGUCAAGAUAAGGAGUUCAAAGGUCGCGUGUCUCAUUUUGCUAGUGAACUGAAGAACGGUAACGCCUCCAUAAAAAUCAGAGAUACUAAAGUGCCUGACAGUGGAGACUACACUUGUCAUUUAGGAAAUGACCAAAUCUUCAGCGUCCGUCUUGUUGUUGAUAAAGUUGCAAAGCUGCAAAUCGAAAAAGACACAAAAGUGGGGUCGGACGGGGUCCUGCUGCAGUGUCUGGUUUCAAAUGCGUCUCCUGAUUUUCAACUGAACAUCUCCUGGUUCGACAGCUCUGGAAACAAACUUACUGAACAGAUAAACAACACACAAAGUGGAAAAAUCUACAUCCUCAAAACUACUGUGAAAAAGAGUGACGAUUAUCGCUGUGUAGCAACAAUGGAUGAACUCAGUCAUCAAGUUGAUGAUUAUGUCACUGUCAAAGAUGAAGACUUAAAGAACACAUCAGGUGAGUCCCACCAUCAAUGAGUUUCCCUCCAGAUCCUCAAUUCACCACCUUUGAUCUGUGACUGUAGAUGUCUCCUGUUGCUGUGGAGCAGAUCGGUUCCUGCACCACAUGUUUAAAGCUUCAUUGUAACAACAGUGGCUGUAAAUAGUUUAAAGCUCAUGGUCGUUGGCGUCGCUGCGUCGUCACUGGCUCAUGAUGUGAUUCCUCUGAUUGAUGGAGCAGAGCAGGAAGCAUGAAGCUUCAGUUGAGGCAGCAGUGAAGCAAGGCAGCAAAGCCGAGUGCGACUCCUCAUGAGGCGUCCAGGACGACGCUCGCUCUUCUUCAGCAGAUCACGCUCUGCUCAUGUGUCGGUCUCUUCCUGGUGGAUCCUGGACCACGUGGAGCCUCAGGGUUUCACCAGGAGGAGGCUCACACGUCAAACAGGGUGGAGGGUUGCUAGUUUGAUGCCACGUGGUGAACUGCUGCCUUGUGAGGUCGUCGCUUUGGACCAAAGCAUCAGUCGAGUCACUAAAUGAAACAACAGCAGGGUCAAACAUCCCAUUGAUCAUUGGGUUGGUUGCUUUAGCAGUUUUGGCUCUUAUAAUUGUAGUUUUGGUUAUAUACAUACUCAGAAUCAGGAAGAGGAUCUAGGCAUGACAACCUCCAGACAUCUUGUUGGGACAUUGAAUCCAGACCGGGAUGUGACACAGAACCUUAUCUGGACUUUGUUUUAGUGUCCACAUGCGUCAACCUAACAUGAUGUUACAGUUUUAUUUUACAUUGUCUUAGUUCACCCCGUGUUUACCUGAACAGGUGUUCGGUUUUGUUUUUCUGUUUUCAGUCCAUGUUGAUGUAAAUGUCUGAUGUCACUAUAAACAGACAUUGAUGAUUCAUCAGAAACCUGAUGGUCAAACCUUCCAGCUUCACGUAAACACGGGCUGCAGAACCAUUGGUGAAUAUGAUUAUUUACAUUAUUGUGCAGCUUUGAUGUCAAAUGUAACUUGAGUUGCUGUUAAAGCAUUUAAAGGAUUUUACCAACAGUUUUGCUUCAAUUCCAAAUAGUUCACCUGAUGAAAUAUAUAAUUAAAUAUAUGUUUUCUGUGAACAAGUGAGCGACCCUGAGACCUGAAUAGAGAAACCAGCUGAAGGAAACAGUCGUUCCCUGUUUAAAGUGAUCAGAGGCCUAAUUGAUUCAUUGGCUUAAGCUUGAUGUUUAUAAUGUGAAUAUUUAGCUGCUCUAUUCAACAAAAUGUGACUUUUAUUUAAUGGUUCCUUCUAUUCUGUAUAAAGUGUUGGUCCAAAGUCUGAACAUGUUCAUGUGGUUAACAGUAAACAGUUACAGUUUAUUGCAUUGCAUUAUAUGCAUUUAGUCGUUUUUAUUUUAUUAACUUCAGCUUUUUCAGAGUUUGUCAUGUUAGUUCAUUUUCAUGAUGUAACAUUUCUAUGAUUUAUCUAAUUAGUGUUAGAUUCCGUAUUUUAUGCUGCAAUAUUAAAACACAUUUACUUUAUUGUUUGAUUAAGUUUGGAUACUGUUUAUAAGUGUUAUAAUUUUAGUUCAGAUUCAGGUUUUACUUGAGAUCAGAUUGUUUCGUAGAGAAAUUAAAUUAGUUUCUGUCUCAUAAAAAAUAUUUGUCAUAAUUAAAUAAUUUUUACUGUGCAAACAUUAAAAUACAUAAUAUACUCAAA